UAAUAAGUGUUUUAUGGCACUUUUUAAAUCCAUAUCCACCUUGUGUGCAAUGUCGGUCGAUCCUCAAAAAAAGAAGAUCGACCGACAUUGCACACAAGGUGGAUAUGGAUUUAAAAAGUGCCAUAAAACACUUAUUAUGAAUGAUCCUUCCGUAGGUGAACCUGCGGAAGGAUCAUUCAUAAUAAGUGUUUUAUGGCACUUUUUAAAUCCAUAUCCACCUUGUGUGCAAUGUCGGUCGAUCUUCUUUUUUGAGGAUCGACCAAACAUCAACCUUUAUUUUUAACUCUUUGUCUGAAAAAUAUUAUGAAUAAACAAUUCAAAAUA
rnacentral:misc_RNA from 1 species